CCUACGGGAGGCAGCAGUGAGGAAUAUUGGUCAAUGGACGGAAGUCUGAACCAGCCAUGCCGCGUGCAGGAUGACGGCUCUAUGAGUUGUAAACUGCUUUUUUAUUAGGGUAAACACCUCUACGUGUAGGGUCUUCAAAGUAUAAUACGAAUAAGGAUCGGCUAACUCCGUGCCAGCAGCCGCGGUAAAAAGGAGGAUCCAAGCGUUUUCCGGAUUUAUUUGGUUUAAAGGGUGCGUAGGCGGUUUGAUAAGUUAGAGGUGAAAUACCGGUGGUCAACACCGGAACUGCCUCUAAUACUGAUGAACUAGAGAGGAGUUGAGGUAGGCGGAAUGUAUGGUGUAGCGGUGAAAUGCUUAGAGAUCAUACAGAACACCGAUUGCGAAGGCAGCUUACCAAACUAUAUCUGACGUUGAGGCACGAAAGCGUGGGUAGCAAACAGGAUUAGAUACCCGAGUAGUC
rnacentral:rRNA from 1 species